UACGGAGGGGGCUAGCGUUAUUCGGAAUUACUGGGCGUAAAGCGCACGUAGGCGGCUUUGUAAGUUAGAGGUGAAAGCCUGGAGCUCAACUCCAGAAUUGCCUUUAAGACUGCAUCGCUUGAAUCCAGGAGAGGUGAGUGGAAUUCCGAGUGUAGAGGUGAAAUUCGUAGAUAUUCGGAAGAACACCAGUGGCGAAGGCGGCUCACUGGAC
rnacentral:rRNA from 1 species